rnacentral:rRNA from 1 species
UACGUAGGGGCUAGCGUUAUCCGGAAUUACUGGGCGUAAAGGGUGCGUAGGUGGUUUCUUAAGUCAGAGGUGAAAGGCUACGGCUCAACCGUAGUAAGCCUUUGAAACUGGGAAACUUGAGUGCAGGAGAGGAGAGUGGAAUUCCUGGUGUAGCGGUGAAAUGCGUAGAUAUCGGGAGGAACACCGGUGGCGAAGGCGGCUUUCUGGCCAGUUACUGACGCUCAUGCGCGAGAGCUGGGUUAGCGAACCGGAUUAGAUACCCGGGUAGUCCCUGAGCGGGCUGG